AGAGGUGGCAAGCGUUGUUCGGAAUUACUGGGCGUAAAGGGCGCGUAGGCGGCCUUCUAAGUCGGACGUGAAAUCCCCAGGCUUAACUUGGGAACUGCGUCCGAUACUGGAGGGCUUGAGUGCGGGAGAGGGAUGUGGAAUUCCAGGUGUAGCGGUGAAAUGCGUAGAUAUCUGGAGGAACACCGGUGGCGAAGGCGGCAUCCUGGACCGACACUGACGCUGAUGCGCGAAAGCCAGGGGAGCAAACGGGAUUAGAUACCCCGGUAGUCCUGGCCCUAAACGAUGAGUGCUUGGUGUGGCGGGUAUCGAUCCCUGCCGUGCCGAAGCUAACGCAUUAAGCACUCCGCCUGGGGAGUACGGUCGCAAGGCUGAA
rnacentral:rRNA from 1 species